AUUGAACGCUGGCGGCAGGCCUAACACAUGCAAGUCGAGCGCGAAAAUUCCUUCGGGGAUGAGUAGAGCGGCGGACGGGUGAGUAAUGCGCAGAAAUCUGCCCAGUAGUGGGGGACAACCUGGUGAAAACCAGGCUAAUACCGCAUACGCCUACGGGGAAAGGCAGGGAGUCUUCGGACCUUGCGCUAUUGGAUGAGUCUGCGUCGGAUUAGCUUGUUGGUGAGGUAAUGGCUCACCAAGGCGACGAUCCGUAGCUGGUCUGAGAGGAUGAUCAGCCACACUGGGACUGAGACACGGCCCAGACUCCUACGGGAGGCAGCAGUGGGGAAUAUUGGACAAUGGGCGAAAGCCUGAUCCAGCCAUGCCGCGUGUGUGAAGAAGGCUCUAGGGUUGUAAAGCACUUUCAGUGGGGAAGAAAGCUUGUUAGCUAAUAACUGACGAGUGUGACAUUACCCACAGAAGAAGCACCGGCUAACUCCG
rnacentral:rRNA from 1 species